UGAGUUCUCACUAGAGCUAUAAGCUCUCUGAAGGGCCGUUGGAGACUACAACGUUGAUAGGCUGGGUGUGGAAGCAUGGUGACAUGUUAAGCUAACCAGUACUAAUUACCCGUGAGGCUUAACCAUACAACGCCAAAGUGGUUUAAG
rnacentral:rRNA from 1 species